rnacentral:lncRNA from 13 species
UGUGUAUGUAUUUAGGAUCAUUAGCUCGUCUUGUCGCAUUGAUCCUUUUACCAUCAUGUAAUGCUCUACUUUGUCUCUUUUGAUCUUUGUUGGUCCAUGUUAUCAGAGACUAGGAUUGCAAUUUCUGCUUUUUUUUGCUCUCCAUUUGCUGGGUAAAUCUUCCUGCAUCCCUUUAUUUUGAGCCUAUGUGUGUCCUUGCACCUGAGAUGGGUUUCCUGAAUACAGCACACCAAUGGGUCUUGACUUUUUAUUCAAUUUGCCAGUCUGUCUCUUUUGAUUAGGGCAUUUAACUCAUUUACAUUUAAGGUUAAUAUUGUUAUGUGUGAACAUUCUUUUCUUUAAGGAUGUUGAAUAUUGGUCCCCACUGUCUUCUGGCUUGUGGAGUUUCUGCAGAGAGGCCUGCUGUGAUUCUGAUGGGCUUCCCUUUGACUUCCAGUACAAUCUUGAAAAGCAGUGGUGAGAAGGGGCACCCACACCUUACUCCUCAUCUUAGGAGGAAAGCAUGUAAGUUUCUUGCCAUUAAAUACGAAGUUAGCUGCAGGUUUUAUUUGUAGAUAUUCUUGAUCAAAUUGAGGAAAUUUCCCCAUUCCCAGUUUACUGAGAAUUUUAAAAAAUCAUAAAUGGGUGUUAGAUUUUGUCAAAUGCUUUUUCUGUAUCUAUUGAUAAAAUAUAAUUUUUAAAAUCUAGCUAGUUUAUAUGGUAGAAUAUAUUAGUCAAUUUUCAAAUGCUGAACCAGCUUUUUAUAUCUGGUAUAAAUCCCACUUGGUUGUGUUUUGUAAUUCUUUUAUACAUUGCUGAAUUCAAUUUACUAAUAUUUUGUUGAGAAUUUUUACAUCUCUGUUUAUGAGACAUAUUGUUCUGUAGUUUUCCUUUCUUACAAUAUCUUUAUCUGGUUUUGGUAUUAGGGCAAGUCUGGCCUCAUAUAAGUUAAGAAGUGUUCAUUCUGCUUCUAUGUUUUGGAAGAGAUCAUAAAGAGUUGAUAUCAUUUCUUCAUUAAAUGUUUGGUAAAAUUCACAAUAAAACCAUUUGGGCCUGAUGCUAUGUUUUUUUG